rnacentral:rRNA from 1 species
AAUCCCGUGAACCAUCGAGUUUUUGAACACAAGUUGCGCCCAAGCCUUCGGGCCGAGGGCACGCCUGCCUGGGUGUCACACAUCGUGUCGCCCCCUCCCCCGCUCCGCGGAGCGGGGGGCGGAGACUGGCCUUCUGUGAGCUCCGUCAUGCGCCCGGCCU